UAGACAGGAGCCUGUUGGUUAUGGCAUCUAGCUGUUAAUUAGAAAGUUGUGGGAUCAAAGCCCAUCUGUCUAG
rnacentral:tRNA from 1 species